CCUACGGGUGGCAGCAGUGAGGAAUAUUGGUCAAUGGGCGCGAGCCUGAACCAGCCAAGUCGCGUGAGGGAAGACGGUCCUAUGGAUUGUAAACCUCUUUUGUCGGGGAGCAAAAGACGCCACGCGUGGCGUUCCGAGAGUACCCGAAGAAAAAGCAUCGGCUAACUCCGUGCCAGCAGCCGCGGUAAUACGGAGGAUGCGAGGGUUAUCCGGAUUUAUGGGGUUAAAAGGGGGCGCAGGCGGAAGUGCAAGUCAGCGGUAAAGUUGAGAUGCUCAACCUCUUAGAGCCGUUGAAACUGGUUUUCUGGAGUGAGCGAGAAGUAUGCGGAAUGCGUGGUGUAGCGGUGAAAUGCAUAGAUAUCACGCAGAACUCCAGUUGCGAAGGCAGCAUACCGGCGCUCAACUGACGCUCAUGCACGAAAGUGUGGGUAUCGAACAGGAUUAGAUACCCCUGUAGUC
rnacentral:rRNA from 1 species